GGGUCCUGAGGUCGUUUAGCGCUCCUGUUUAGAACACCACUUUCCGAUGAUCGUGACCGAGUCCUCCUGGAGAUACUUUGUUCUGCCUUCGCUGGUUGACAUCGUCUCGCUUCACAACAGGUUAAAACAAGAUUUGGUACAGGAAGAGCUAUCAGUAGACACUGAGAGAGGUGGGCAAAGGAAGAAAGAAGUCCAGAGAAGUCCAGUUCCAUGCGGUCAGGAUCUGUGUUUUGGUCUUCCUGACACCCACAGCCUGAAGCUCAGAGCCUGGGAGACAGCAAAUGCACGACAAAGGAUGGAAGGAGGAAAGAAAGCCAGAGUACUAUUUGCCUACUUUUAUUACAUUGUGUCUUUGACAAGGUACUCAGCAAUGGGUAAGGUUUCAAAAUAA
rnacentral:lncRNA from 1 species